rnacentral:rRNA from 1 species
AUUGAACGCUGGCGGCAUGCUUUACACAUGCAAGUCGAACGGCAGCGCGGGCUUCGGCCUGGCGGCGAGUGGCGAACGGGUGAGUAAUACAUCGGAACGUGCCCAGUAGUGGGGGAUAGCUCGGCGAAAGCCGGAUUAAUACCGCAUACGACCUGAGGGUGAAAGCGGGGGAUCUUCGGACCUCGCGCUAUUGGAGCGGCCGAUGGCAGAUUAGCUAGUUGGUGGGGUAAAGGCCUACCAAGGCGACGAUCUGUAGCUGGUCUGAGAGACGACCAGCCACACUGGGACUGAGACACGGCCCAGACUCCUACGGGAGGCAGCAGUGGGGAAUUUUGGACAAUGGGCGAAAGCCUGAUCCAGCAAUGCCGCGUGUGUGAUGAAGGCCUUCGGGUUGUAAAGCACUUUUGGCGGGAACGAAAAGGACUGUGCCAAUACCACGGUUCGAUGACGGUACCCGCAGAAUAAGCACCGGCUAACUACGUG